rnacentral:rRNA from 1 species
GACGAACGCUGGCGGCGUGCUUAACACAUGCAAGUCGAACGAAGUGGCGAACGGGUGAGUAAUACGUGAGUAACUGCCCCCCUCUCUGGGAUAACAGUUGGAAACGGCUGCUAAUACCGGAUAGUGGGGGAUGACUCGCGUCCUAUCAGCUUGUUGGUGGGGUAGUGGCCUACCAAGGCGACGACGGGUAGCCGGCCUGAGAGGGCGACCGGCCACAUUGGGCUGAGAUACGGCCCAAACUCCUACGGGAGGCAGCAGUGGGGAAUAUUGCACAAUGGGGGAAACCCUGAUGCAGCAACGCGCGUGCGGGAUGACGGCCUUCGGGUUGUAAACCGCUUUCAGCCAUGACGCGGUAGUGGCAGAAGAAGCACCGGCUAACUACGUGCCAGCAGCCGCGGUAAUUC